GACGAACGCUGGCGGCGUGCUUAACACAUGCAAGUCGAACGGUAAGGCCCUUCGGGGUACCCGAGUGGCGAACGGGUGAGUAACACGUGGGUAAUCUGCCCUGCACAUCGGGAUAAGCCUGGGAAACUGGGUCUAAUACCGAAUAGGACCACAGGACACAUGUCCUGUGGUGGAAAGCUUUUGCGGUGUGGGAUGGGCCCGCGGCCUAUCAGCUUGUUGGUGGGGUGAUGGCCUACCAAGGCGACGACGGGUAGCCGGCCUGAGAGGGUGUCCGGCCACACUGGGACUGAGAUACGGCCCAGACUCCUACGGGAGGCAGCAGUGGGGAAUAUUGCACAAUGGGCGAAAGCCUGAUGCAGCGACGCCGCGUGGGGGAUGACGGCCUUCGGGUUGUAAACCUCUUUCACCAUCGACGAAGGUCCGGGUUUUCUCGGGCUGACGGUAGGUGGAGAAGAAGCAUCGGCCAACUACGUG
rnacentral:rRNA from 1 species